GACGAACGCUGGCGGCGUGCUUAACACAUGCAAGUCGAACGGAAAGGCCCUGCUUUUGUGGGGUGCUCGAGUGGCGAACGGGUGAGUAACACGUGAGUAACCUGCCCUUGACUUUGGGAUAACUUCGGGAAACUGGGGCUAAUACCGGAUAGGAGCUCCUGCUGCAUGGUGGGGGUUGGAAAGUUUCGGCGGUUGGGGAUGGGCUGGCGGCUUAUCAGCUUGUUGGUGGGGUAGUGGCUUACCAAGGCUUUGACGGGUAGCCGGCCUGAGAGGGUGACCGGCCACAUUGGGACUGAGAUACGGCCCAGACUCCUACGGGAGGCAGCAGUGGGGAAUAUUGCACAAUGGGCGGAAGCCUGAUGCAGCAACGCCGCGUGCGGGAUGACGGCCUUCGGGUUGUAAACCGCUUUCGCCUGUGACGAAGCGUGAGUGACGGUAAUGGGUAAAGAAGCACCGGCUAACUACGUG
rnacentral:rRNA from 1 species